GAGAGUCGGUUAGUCGGCACGAGCGCAACCCUGUCUUCAGUUGCCAUCAUUUAGUUGGGCACUCUGGAGAGACUGCCGGUGACAAACCGGAGGAAGGUGGGGACGACGUCAAGUCCUCAUGGCCCUUAUGGUCGGGGCUACACACGUACUACAAUGGGCACUACAAUGGGCAGCAAGACCGCGAGGUGGAGCAAAUCCCAAAAAAAGUGUCCUCAGUUCGGAUUGGAGUCUGCAACUCGACUCCAUGAAGUUGGAAUUGCUAGUAAUCGCUGAUCAGCAUGCAGCGGUGAAUACGUUCCCGGGCCUUGUACACACCGCCCGUCACACCACGAGAGUCGAUUGGACCUGAAGCCGUUAGCCCAACCCUCGGGAAGGCAACGCCAACGGUCUGAUCAGCGAUUGGGGUGAAGUCGUAACAAGGUAGCCGUAGGGGAACCUGUGGCCGGAUCACCUCCUUU
rnacentral:rRNA from 1 species